CUUACCCCUUUUCCACAUCUUGCCAAAUUUAGUCCCAAUGUGGCCUCUGUCGAGCCCACGGUUAGAAGAACAGGAGGAAUGCAGAAUCGGAUUCUAUUAGUUACUGCUAACUAUCGAGACCCUGCAAGUUUGGUUGACUGCCAGGAUUAAAGGCCUCAGGAAGAGAGAGCAUGGUGUGGGAAAUAAAUGGUGCAACCAUUCCAGUUAAAUAAAGGUCAUAAAAUCUCCAGAAAAUAAACUGAUUUUUUAAAUUAGAAUUUCAGAUAUGUAAAAUUAGAUUCAAACAUGUAUAUUUAAAAUUUCUACAGGAAAAAGAUGGCAUAGUGACAUAUGAACCAUAAAUGAAAAUGUCUAAGGUAAAUGAGUCAUAAAUAUUUCUUGAGUGAACAUGGUAAGGGGCUACUUUGAAGAAAA
rnacentral:lncRNA from 1 species